rnacentral:lncRNA from 1 species
UUUUUCUUCUGAUAUUUUCAUCUCCACUUGUAUAAAUCCACCACUCAUUAAUCUUCACCAACAAAUUUCAUAUCAACCCCCUUAUCCGUCUACCUAUCUAUCAAACCCUAUACCCUCACACCACAAAUGGCAACCAUGGCUACAACCCUAACCUCAUCUCUCUCCUCAAACCCUAAACACUCUUUCUUCGAAAACAAAUCCUCCUUCCAUGGCUCCCCCAUCUCCUCAAAAACCCUCUUCCCCAUCAAAUCCGCCCCAGAAAACCUCUGCAUCACCAUGUCCGCCGCCACGCCGCCCUACGACCUCGACAACUUCAAAUUCAACCCCAUCAAGGAAUCCAUUGUUUCCCGCGAAAUGACGCGUAGAUACAUGACAGACAUGAUUACCUACGCGGACACCGACGUAGUUGUCGUCGGAGCCGGCUCUGCCGGACUCUCAUGCGCUUAUGAA